CAGGACUUUGAAUCCUGUAAUCCGAGUUCGAUUCUCGGCGAGACCU
rnacentral:tRNA from 1 species